AGGCAUGGUAUUGAAAUGGAUGUGGAGAUUAGAAUGGACCCCCAAGAGCCUCCUAACCCAACACUCAAUGGAGCACCUGCCCUGGCUGAGGAGGAGGCGGCAGCUCAUAGAGAGAUUUGUGGACUGAGGCGGUCAACUCGCAAACUGCAGACGUGGAUUGACCCUUGACACCUGUGGCCAAACAUUCCCCCUCACUCCUGGCAUCUGUGGGUCUGUGACACUUGUGAACUGGGGCCUCACGGACUUCAUCCCAGUGCACGGACGCAGAUGUGGACGGACCCUCGACACCUGUGGCCAAACCUUCCCCCUCACUCCUGGCAAUUGCUGAUUUGGGAGCCUCACGCACCUUAUCCUUGGGUGGAGGCUGCAACACAGCUUCCCUUGGUGGCGGGGGCACCCUCACCCGGCGCAUGGGCUGCAACACAGCUUCCCCCGUUUGUGAAUAAAAUAAAUCAUGUCCUGUACUGUAUAUUCAGGUAC